CAAAAUCAUUUUAAAUAAAAAAGUCAGGUCAAGGUGUAGCAAAUGAGGCGGAAAGAAAUGGGCUACAUUUUCUAUUAUAGAAUAUACACGAAUAUCUUAUGAAAUAUGAUAUGAAGGAGGAUUUAGAAGUAAAAGGAAAAAAGAGUGUUCUUUUUAAAUCGGCAAUAGAGCGCGCACACACCGCCCGUCACCCUCCUUACACACAGAAAAAUUAAAUAAAUAUUA
rnacentral:misc_RNA from 1 species